CUUCUCUCUUAUCUCUACACAGAACUCCAUCUCUUUCUCUAGUUCCCCUGUUGCUUAAAAUCUCUGUUAUUUGAGUACUGGUAAACAUGGAGUCUCACCAUCCUUUCCUCUAUAAAAGGACUUGACCCCUUUCGGCUGAAACAAUGGAAUACUGAUUCUUGCUCCUCCUUAGCAAAACAGCUUUGUGCGAAACCUUCUUUGUUUUGUACGAAACCUUCUUUUGGUCUUAGUGACCGUGAGUUAGUGUGUUCUUAGUGAUCAGAACCUUGGUGGUCUUCUUUCUUGGGUGGAGCAACUGUGGGUCGUGGUGAUCAUAAAAACCGAUGCUUAGUGAUUGAGUUCUACUGGAUCUGGCAAAUCUGAGCCUAUCUUCAAUAUAUAUUGAGUUUGUUUUAAUCUCUAGUCUUUCCAUUAUAUUUAUUCUUUGAGAUAUUUGUAAUAAGUAAUUGUAUUUAAGGAGUUUUGUACUCUGCGCCGCUGCAAUAGUCGAAUAGGGUUCUCUAAAAUACGAGGCACCCACCCAAUAGUGGUAUCAGAGCCACGGAUGCUCUGAUCUUGAAGACUCACGGUACACUGGAGUGAGCCCCUAGGCAGUGAUAAAAAAACUAGAUCCAGCGUAACGUUCCGGACACUGCUCCUUUUAAUAAGGACUUGGUCUAAGGGGGAGCAUGUUGUGAAAUAUGGCCCAAGAUCCUAUUAAAAGGCCUAGAACCCGAGCCACUAGACGACCCACCCACCCACUUGACCCGACCCAGUUCGGAUUCAUACUAAAUCAGAAUCCUAAAUCUAUUUCUCACGUCUCUCUUCUCUCUUAUCUCUACACAACCAUCUCUCUCUAGUUCCCCUAUUGCUUAAAUCUUUGAUAUUUGAGUACUGGUAAACAUGGAGUCUUACCAUCCUUUCCCCUAUUAAAGGACUUGACCCAUUUCGGCUGAAACAAUGGAAUACUGAUUCUUGCUCCUCCUUAGCAAAACAGCUUUGUGCGAAACCUUCUUUGUUUUGUGCGAAACCUUCUUUUGGUCUUAGUGACCGUGAGUUAGUGUGUUCUUAGUGAUCGGAACCUUGGUGGUGUUCUUUCUUGGGUGGAGCAACCGUGGGUCGU